rnacentral:lncRNA from 1 species
AUCGAACAAUUGAGAUCAAACGCAAUGAACGGCCUAGAUUAACGCAAGAUGAGUAUAAAUAUUUCGCAUCACACUGAACCCGAACCCUACUCGUCAGCCUCCCGUCAAAGAAGAAGAACCAGUUACUAGAGAAAUGAGCCAACCGCAAACUGCCGCUGCACCAGAGCCACUUUUGACCGUAAAAAAUGGUAAAAAUUCUCUUACCUGCUCGGAAUUCGAUUUUGAACACCCCUGUAGUCAUAUCGGAGCAAAAUGAAUGGUGGGUAAGCCGAAAAUCGCGGGCAUAACCCCUAACUUCCUCCUAUGAGCUCUUUCCUAAUUCAUGUUUUAUGUGAUUUUUCAACCAUUAUGUUCAUUAUCUUUUUCUGUGCAGGUUGACCAAAGAAAGAAUCUUAAUUGCGAAGGAGAACUGGCGGAGCCGCCGCGCCCGGAGGUCUCUUCCUGCCAGUGAGUUUGAUUUUUUACGU